UCAGGAUGAACGCUAGCGGCAGGCCUAAUACAUGCAAGUCGAACGGUGAUAGCAAUAUCAUAGUGGCGCACGGGUGCGUAACACGUAUGCAACCUACCUAUUAUUGGGGGAUAGCCUUUGGAAACGGAGAUUAAUACCGCAUAAUACGAUUGACUGGCAUCGGUUGAUUGUUAAAGCUUCGGCGAUAAUAGAUGGGCAUGCGUCCAAUUAGUUAGUUGGUUAGGUAACGGCUGACCAAGACGAUGAUUGGUAGGGGAUCUGAGAGGAUAAUCCCCCACACUGGCACUGAGAUACGGGCCAGACUCCUACGGGAGGCAGCAGUAGGGAAUAUUGGGCAAUGGGCGGAAGCCUGACCCAGCCAUGCCGCGUGCAGGAAGAAGGCGUUAUGCGUUGUAAACUGCUUUUUUAUAGGAAGAAGGAUCCCUUGCGAGGGAAGGUGACGGUACUAUAAGAAUAAGCACCGGCUAACUCCGUGCCAGCAGCCGCGGUAAUACGGAGGGUGCAAGCGUUGUCCGGAUUUAUUGGGUUUAAAGGGUGCGUAC
rnacentral:rRNA from 1 species